rnacentral:misc_RNA from 1 species
UUUUUUUGUCCUCGUAAGUCCUGAUUUCGAGGCGCCCACCAAGAAAAUGCGAGCUGCUUUACCGGCAGAAAUCGGGAUGCCUCACCACGUCUGGAACUGCAGCCAAGCUGGGGCGUUAGUGGCCUCUGUGCUGCAAGGGGAUUUGGUGGGUUUGGGCCAGGCACUGUCAUCUGAUAAGAUCGUGGAGCCCAAAAGGGCGCCAUUGAUUCCUGGGAUGGAAGAGGUGAAGAAGGCCGCGAUGAGGGCUGGGGCAUUUGGGUGUACCAUUAGCGGGGCAGGGCCUACGGCUGUGGCGGUGAUUGAUGAUGAAGAGAGAGGAAAGGAGAUUGGGAAGAGCAUGGUGGAAGCCUUUUCGAAGGAAGGGAAUUUGAAAGCUGUGGCUAUGGUGAAGAGGUUAGAUAGAAUUGGUGCUAGACUUGUUGGCAGUGUUCCAACUAGAUAAUCAAAGAUUUCUCU